rnacentral:rRNA from 1 species
AUUGAACGCUGGCGGCAGGCUUAACACAUGCAAGUCGAGCGAGCGGCGGACGGGUGAGUAAUGUCUGGGAAACUGCCUUAUGAAGGGGGAUAACUACUGGAAACGGUAGCUAAUACCGCAUACCAUCAGAUGUGCCCAGAUGGGAUUAGCUAGUGGGUGGGUGAAUGGCUUACCAAGGCGCCGAUCCCUAGCUGGUCUGAGAGGGUGACCAGCCAGACUGGAACUGAGACACGGUCCAGACUCCUACGGGAGGCAGCAGUGGGGAAUAUUGCGCAAUGGGCGAAAGACUGACGGAGCAAUGCCGCGUGUGUGAAGAAGGUCUUCGGUUUGUAAAGCACUUUCAGUGAGGAGGCGUUACUCGCAGAAGAAGCACCGGCUAACUCCGUGCCAGCAGCCGCGGUAAUUC